ACACACAACCCAACACACAACAUCACCCCCACAACAACAUAACCAACCAUCAUCCUCAGCUCAACAAACAUACCAACACAUCCAGACCACCCAACAACACACCAUUUAUUCCACCUCAACCCAACACCAUAAUCCCCAAACUCCAUUCCCUCAAACAAACUACUUUUACAACCAACAAUAUCAACAACAAACCAACCUACGCCCACCCAUACAAUACACUCAAAUUCCUCAACCCAACUUUGAAUACUCAAACCCUCAUUCUUAACCCCAACUUUCUAACACCACAUACGCACAUCCCACUCCCACAUACAACCCUGAUGAUGUGUAUUAUCCUCCUAUCCAACACACCCCACCCGAAACCUACACACAAACCACACAUUCACUACCCAACUUUGACCUCACCGAUGACCAUUUAAUGAGUAUGCCUUCUUUUGGCGUUCAAGAACUCGACGUUAUGGAUAUGCCUCCUAACACAUCACAACAACAUCAAAGUCAACAACAUCAACAACAACAAAA
rnacentral:lncRNA from 1 species